GCCUAGUUAGCUUGGUUGGUGAAGCGUCUGCCUUGUAAGCGCUAGGCCGCGGGUUCGAUUCCCG
rnacentral:tRNA from 1 species